UUCAAAUCUGGUCUCUAACAUUUGAAAAAUCUAGUUCAGGAUGUUGUUUCAUGAAAUUUUGCAGUACAUCUUUUCGUUUUUGUUCAUCGGUACGCUUUUGGCUUUGCUCCAACAUCAUUUUUUCAACUGUAGCUCUUGUUUCUUCAUCUAGAUCAGAUAAUUUUGAAUUUUCGGGCUCAAUUGAGCCUAUAUCGAUUGAGGGAUGCCCUUUUAUAACACACGACCACCAUUCCAUUUUAUUGGAUUUCUCGAGAUGGAUAACAAGCCUUUCUUGUUCUUCGACAGUCCAGGUGCUUUCAUCUAAAUUGAUCUGUUUUUCGAGUGGACCACUGAGAAGGACUUUUCGUUCUGGGACGUUGAUUUGAAUUUUGAGAUCGUGAUUUGACAUAUCUACCUGGAGGGAUUUCGCUCUUGUCCCUUUGGGUACAUGGAUGACAAUAUCAACAUCGGCUAUUGUUUGAUCCCACUCGUACUCGGCCUCUUCGAGUUUUACUUGAUGCAUUCUUAAACCUGCAGCUCAACUCACGCUUUUCGUAAUCGGUUGAUUACUUUGUAAU